rnacentral:misc_RNA from 1 species
GAAAUGCGAUAAGUAAUGUGAAUUGCAGAUUUUCAGUGAAUCAUCGAAUCUUUGAACGCACCUUGCGCCCCUUGGUAUUCCGAGGGGCAUGCCUGUUUGAGUGUCAUUAAAUUAUCAACUCUACCUGAUUUGCUUCGGGUGUGAGCUUGGACUUGGAGUGUGCUGGCUGCAAUAGUGUCGGCUCCUCUUUAAAUGCAUUAGCGGGAAUUCUCACCUUGCGAAACUCGGCGUGAUAAUAAUGUUGUGCCGUGAUAGUAACUUGGAGGGCCCGCUCAUAAUCGUCUUCGGACAAAACUUACCUUUGUCUUAGUUGACAUCGGAAAGAUCCAAUUUUGACCUCAAAUCAGGUAGGACUACCCGCUGAACUUAA